rnacentral:rRNA from 1 species
UACGUAGGGUGCGAGCGUUAAUCGGAAUUACUGGGCGUAAAGCGUGCGCAGGCGGCGCGUUAAGACAGGUGUGAAAGCCCCGAGCUUAACUUGGGAAUUGCGCUUGUGACUGGCGUGCUGGAGUGUGGCAGAGGGAGGUGGAAUUCCACGUGUAGCAGUGAAAUGCGUAGAUAUCAGGAGGAACACCGAUGGCGAAGGCAGGUCUCUGGGCUGACACUGACGCUCAUGCACGAAAGCGUGGGGAGCAAACAGG